UACAGAGGGUGCGAGCGUUAAUCGGAGUUACUGGGCGUAAAGGGCGCGUAGGCGGUGGACUAAGUGAGAUGUGAAAUCCCUGGGCUUAACCUAGGAACUGCAUCUUAUACUGGUUGACUGGAGUACUGUAGAGGGUAGUGGAAUUUCCGGUGUAGCGGUGAAAUGCGUAGAGAUCGGAAGGAACACCAGUGGCGAAGGCGGCUACCUGGACAGAUACUGACGCUGAGGCGCGAGAGCGUGGGGAGCAAACAGG
rnacentral:rRNA from 1 species